GUCCUUCCUUCUUGGCGCUUCUAUCUAUUGAAUGAUAGAAGUGUAUGUAGUGGAAGGUACAUAAUGUCCUUUGGAUAUUCGGGUCAGCUUCGGUGCUAUUCUGUUCACUGUCGAGUAGUAUCAUCCUCUGGGCUCGAGACAGUU
rfam:Angiostrongylus costaricensis strain Costa Rica genome assembly, scaffold: ACOC_scaffold0000517